rnacentral:lncRNA from 1 species
UCGGUGCGCAAAUCUUCUAAAUGAUUUCAUUUUUGGGGGGAAAAAAAGUCUAAUCUGCCGAUUCCCGACCCUCCCGUCCCAGGCGCGCCGCGGUCCCGGGGUGCGGAGGAGAGGCGACCGGGGAGCCCGGCCUUGGCGUGUCCGGAGGGGACAGGUGCGACCGGAAAUCGCUUCCAUUCGGACAAAUAAAUUGUCCGACUGUAACAGGACGUAGAGAAGGACAGGGUGCGUGCGUCGUGACGUGUCUGGAGAUGAGGGGGUUCCCCGGUGGGUGCAGGUGUAUGUCCCGGACACUGCUGCUGUGCUGUCCCAGCAGGCCGGAGGCCAUGUUACUUGUGCGGGUCACGGUUUGGGGGUCCGCCUUUAGGAAAAUGUAAAACCCUGGCAGCGCCGAGGCAUCCGCAGGCCUCACGUUGCAUUUCUAUGUUAACCCCCCCCCCCCCAACGUGCCGGAACAGCGGAUAUUUAUCUAAGUAUGUAUUUAAUAUAAGAUAUUACAGAUGUCCCCUGCUUUUGGGGUUUACGACGCGGGCCGGCCU